CCGGAAGGAAGACUCGUAACGGGUGGUAUCAGCUGAAGAAAGAAUGCAGAGAUGCUGGUUGCCGAGACAUAAACGCCAUCACUUCAACAAAUAUGCGCAAAUAUCUAGCCACGAUCGCCCAGAUCAUGAACCUAUCAGAAAAUGAAAUGGAUCAGAUUGCCUCACACCUCGGACACGAUAUAACCGUUCACAGAAAAUAUUAUCGCCUACCGGACAGCACAGUAGAACUCGCGAAAAUAGCGAAACUUCUACUGUCUACCGAAGAAACGCUUGGAGCCAAUCUCGACGAUGAUGCUGAAGGAGCGUCAAAUGCAGUCGGCGCUACGGCUGGCCGUGUCAGCGACCCACCUGCUCGGCCACGGCCAACAGGCAGCCGGCUCCGACGUCAAGUAGGCGCUACGGUUCCUGACGCCAGCAGGAGCACUUGACCAGCAGCUCACCGCCACCGCACAGGACCUGGCACAGCUCGGCACAGGCAUGCACAUUGACCCAGCAGUGGUGCAAGAAUGCGAAUGGCAAGCUCUGCACUGAUUCCUCCGUUUUUAGCAUUAGUGUUUCGCGUAACUUUCCGUUAAACGGACGGGGCCGCCGCCGGCCCCGGCCGCCGCCGUGCGAGUCGGCCGCCGCGCCGCUACGGACGACUGGCACACGCCACAAGUGUGAUGGAUUUUCGGCCAACGCGGCGACACCGGCGUAGCGUUCAAUUGGCCGCGCUGCCCUGACGCUCCGGUGACGGACAGGUGGACCGAGGGCGCCGCCCGCCCAUCCCUCCGGACCAGGCCAGGCCGGCCGAUCUGAGGGAGGUAGGGAGGAGCCGCGUGGCUGGCCGAAUGGACGGCCGCGCCGGGCCAUUGUCACUGAUUGUUGGCCAUUGUCACUGAUUGUUCAUUGCCGCACCGAGGUCCGGCGAUGUCACCGGAAUGCCGCCACUGGUUUGAGUUUCCGCGAAACCGGCUUGCCCAGAGAUGUUUGUCACUGGCAUUGCUAUGUGCUAUUUGUGAUGUUCAUAUAUACCAUUCCCGUUACGGAGUACAUAUCUUGUUUUGAACGUUAAGUUCCGAUAUACGAACUGGCCGUCUGAAAAAGAGCCGCACGUGCACGAUGCUUGUAGAUAUUCCUGACGACCACGAACCGACCACGAAUCAGAACUGCGCCUCUCGUAAUGGGAGUGCGAGUAGUUGUUGCGAGUUAGAGCUCCUUGGCGAGUGGCUGACUCUGAACUGACUGACUAAACACCGGUUAGCUGUUUCACCAGCAGUCCCAGUGGAGGGAAGUAGGCCCAGGCGAGCAGGGUGUCGCAGCGUAAGUCCGACGAUGGCGGCGCAGUAGUCGAAUGGCGUCCACAUUUAGCCGACGAAGGCUGCGCUGAGCGCCAUACCCGCCUCACCUUAUCUCCGAGUCACGUGUUCAUGACUGACACGGGCAACCAUACGGCCCGUCGUUGCCCACGCGCACCCCAGACGGGGCCGCCAGUCGCGGCCCCGGACACGUCAGUCCCCAGAUCUGCAGUGAUGUCGCCCGGCUCUGACGAUGGCGCACAGCCGCCGUGUCCGCGGUCUCCGUCGCCGCCGCGGUAUGCGGCGCUGGGCGGCGACUCGUACAUGUCGCGGUCUCGCCAUUGGGGGCCGAACGAUUCGCGGCUCCCGCCGACCCCGCCGGCGACGAGUUUCCUCCGGCGAGUCCUGCGCCGUCUGGCGUGGUCGACGCUGCCCGGGAGGUUCCUGGCUGGCAAGCUGCUGCUGUGUCUACCGACGCACAGAGUUUUGUCGUGGCUGUGCUGUCCGCGGCCGUGCUCCACGGUUGCGACGUCUGCGGCCAAGCUGCCCGCUGCUGAGCUCCGCGGCCGAGCUGCCAGCGGCCGUGCUCUGCGGCCGUGCUCUGCGGUCGUGCUCUGCGGCCGUGCUUCCCGUGGCUGGGCCCUCCGUGGUCCCGUGAUCGUGGCCGCGGCGAGGGUGCCGCGACCUGCGCGAUGCCGUGCGCUGCAGUGAUGGCGCCGCGCACUGUGCAGUGAUUUUGCCGAGCGCUGCGUACGCGGUGGGUGCCGCGCGCCGCGCUGUUGAGCGUGCCGUAUUCGGACGGUGGCUGCCGCGCGCAGCGUGGUGAUUGCUGCGCUCUGCCAUGAGUGCCGCUCACUGCCGUGGCCUGAGUGCCGCGCUCGGACGGAGUGCCACGCGCCGUUGUGUUGCGUCGCCUUCUGCCUUUUGAUAUGUGCUAUCUCCGAAUUUAAUGUUGCUUGUUGCCGAUGUUCGCUUCUUUUCGUUAAGAGGGUCGGGUAUAGUCGGUCGAUUUAUUCGCACCGUUUGAUUUCGUACCGGCUUCUCUUCUGUUUCUUAUUGUUUUCUGCGAUGUCACUUGUCCGAUUUUAUAUCUGAUUAAUUCACGUCACUUAAGUAUUUAUUUUAUAUUGUCAUAAUAACUUACGGCGCUGUUCCUUUAUUUUCUGUUUAGUUGCAGCCCUAGUACCUUAAUUUCCGAUGUCUCUUCGGUUUGUUGUCGCUCGCAUGUUCAGAGAGUCCUGGUUGGCCGGCGCGAGCGGCGGUUGUGGAAUACAAGCUCGUCUGUGAA
rnacentral:lncRNA from 1 species